rnacentral:rRNA from 1 species
CGCGUAGGCGGAUGUUACAGUCAGGCGUGAAAUUCCUGGGCUCAACCUGGGGGCUGCGUUUGAUACGUGAUGUCUGGAGUUCGGAAGAGGGUCGUGGAAUUCCCAGUGUAGAGGUGAAAUUCGUAGAUAUUGGGAAGAACACCGGUGGCGAAGGCGGCGACCUGGUCCGAUACUGACGCUGAGGCGCGAAAGCGUGGGGAGCAAACAGGAUUAGAUACCCUGGUAGUCCACGCUGUAAACGAUGUGCGCUGGAUGUUGGGUGACAUAGUCAUUCAGUGUCGUAGCUAACGCGAUAAGUGCACCGCCUGGGGAGUACGGCCGCAAGGUUGAAA